AAGAAACUGAGGAGCAAAGAAAUUAUAUAACUUGUCGAGGAUCAUACAAUUUGACUCAGGAAAAGUAUAAGGAGGUAAUCAGGAAAGUGAUAUCAGAAGGGACUUCAUAAGUUUUAUCUGUUUGCAUUCCUACAUGGGACAAUGAUACAGGAAGUCAUGAAAGGCUUUGCCAAAUGCCUGGAAGAAAUCCAGAUGGAGAUCUAUAGAAGUAGAUGAAUGUACUAUCUAAUCUGUAAUUCCAGACCAAAAUAAUAAUAAAAAAAAAGGUUUUAAUUUUGACAUGAUUUUGUCUUAGUGAACUCAGUAUGGUUCUCAGUAAUCAAUAAGUUACAGACUCAACAAAUUUCUCCUUUUACAAAAUCAUAACAUUUACUUAUCUUCAAUCAAGGAUUCC